rnacentral:rRNA from 1 species
GGGGGGGGGGGGGGGGGGGGGGGGGGGGGGGGGGGCGGGGGGGAGGGGGGGGGGGGGGGGGGCGGGGGGGGGGGGGGGGGCGGGCGGGGGAGGGGGGGAGCGGAAGCUACUGUGUCGGGGGGGAGAACGUAGGGAAACGUACGCGAAUACCGCAUACGACCUACGGGUGAAGGCAGGGGAUCUGCGGGCCUGGGGCGAUUGAAUGAGCCGAUGUCGGAUGAGCUAGGUGGCGGGGUAAAGGCCCACCAGGGCGACGAGCCGUCGCUGGUCUGAGAGGAUGGUCAGCCACACUGGAUGUGAGACACGGUCCAGACUCCUACGGGAGGCAGCAGUGGGGAAUAUUGGACAAAGGGCGCAAGCCUGAUCCAGCCAUACCGCGUGGGUGAAGAAGGCCUUCGGGUUGUAAAGCCCUUUUGUUGGGAAAGAAAAGCAGCAGGUUAAUACCCCGCUGUUCUGACGGUACCCAAAGAAUAAGCACCGGCUAACUUCGUG